GCGUGGCCAGACCGGCGCGCGUGCGCGGGGAGGGGCGGCAUCGCGCUUAGCCGGCUCAGCGGACUGGGUGAAUGUCUUGUGGGACUUGACGCCUUCUUCUUUACCUGCUUGUUUUCUGGGGUUUCCCGCAGCGGGGAAGUGAGCGAUCCAGGGCGCAGGAGCAGAGGCCUUCUUCCAGAACUGGGGCUCUAACCCUGAGCUUCAUGCGUGCUAGGCAGGCACCCUGCCCCCAGCUACAUCCCAAACUCCACCUGCAAAAUGGGACCGGCGGCCUCACAAACUGAGAAUCCGGUUUGUUCUCGGCUCACCUGCUGUCCAUCUCGCAGAGAAUCAUGCAGGAUGGGCCUCGCCCCCAGAAUGUAGCCCCGCGGCACCCUUCUCAGCACCCUGGAUGCCACCACCCCCGCGCGAGACUGGCCUUGGGGCUCUGGAAGACUGGGCAGCCUCGCUGUCCUCCCACCUUUGAUUCUAACGAACCUCCAGGCUCUGCUCCACACAGCAGCAGGCUGAAGAAGCUUUUUACAGUGUAAACUAAAAACAUGCUAGGGGCACAUCUCUUCUCGAGGCUUCCAAAGGGCGUUUAGCUGGGCAUGGACUGAAUUCUACACCUCUCAUUCAGGCUGAUAAAGCCCCGAAUUUGCCUGGCGUCUCCCACCUUGUUUCCCUUUUGCCCUGCUGUGGUUCCUCUACCCUCAGAGCACAGGAUCAUUCCAGCCACAGGUCUUUGCCCAGGGGAUGCCUUGGUUUGGGACUUUUUCUUUUUUUCUUCUGGUAUUGGGGGUGGAACCCAGGGCCUCCCACAUCUAGGCAAGUGCUCUGCCACUGAGCUGCAUCCCAGCCUCUUUUAUUUUUAAAAUUUGAGACAGGGUCUUUCUAAGUUACUCAGGCUGGGUUUGCACUCACGAUUGUCUGCCUCAGCCUCCUGAGUGAUGGCAUUACAGACGUGCACCACCACACCUGGCACUAGCAGUUCUUUGAACAUAUUUAUUAAUUGAGAAAAAUAAUAGAAAAAGUUGGCCAAUCUCAAAUGCAGGAUACGUGUUGACCUGGUUAUCCUAUGUCUGUGCGUUUGUCCUGUACCCAUGUACCCUUCUGUGACCCUGUUUCUACCUCUCCCCUCUCUUACCAGUAGUGGGGUGUGGUUGGUGUCAUACUAGCUGCUUCUGGGGAGGUGGGGAGAGAGCAGUGUCAUUACAUACAAGCGCAUGGCUUGCUGUUCAUUUUACUGAUAUUGCUCAUCUCUUUCUCAGAUCCAGAAUAACUUAAUAAUAAUUGAGCACUGCUUCGUAUCAUUUGCUGAUUUUCGUGGUAUAAGGACUUCCUCCAUGGCCCAGUUCAAGCUGUACCUAGCUUGUAUGUGAUGGCACCACCAACAGAGUUGGGAAGAGAUGUGUUGUGCUUAGCACACCUGAUUUUUUUUUUUUUUUUGGUACCAGGGAUUGAACUCGGGUCCUUGCGCUUUCGCAGCAGGUGACGAAACCACUGAGCUAAAUCUCCGGCCCCCGACACCUGAUUUUUUUUCAGAGCACCUGGUGCUUUCUCACUGUGGCUACCAAAAUCCCAGGCCCCAAACCAGACCUCAAUCAGAAUCUGUAUUUUAACAAGGUACCCAGGAACUUCCUGUGCAUAUUAGAUCUAGAGGCUCAAAAGAGUUCAAGAGCAUUUUGCAUAGAGGUUUUCUUUAUUCUUGUACAGGAGUGGGGGGAUUUAAUACCAUUAAAAUUUUCCCAACCAGCCAGGUAUGGUGGUGCACACCUGUAAUUCCAGUGCUUGGGAGACUGAGGCAGGAGGAUUGCUGUGAGCUGGAGACCAGCCUACGCUACAUAGUGAGUUCGAGGCAAGCCUGAACUAUGUAGCAAGACUCUAUCUCAAAGCAAAUCAGAGCUGGGGAUUUAGCUCAGUGGCCCUGAGCCUGCCUUGCAAGCGCAAGGUCCUGGUAAGAUUGGGGUGUCUACAUUACAUAGACACUAAAAAUAGAAAACCACUGAGCUUCAAGGAAGAGGUCGUUGUAGGAAUAAACA